rnacentral:rRNA from 1 species
GGAAUAUUGGACAAUGGGCGCAAGCCUGAUCCAGCAACGCCGCGUGUGUGAAGAAGGUCUUCGGAUCGUAAAGCACUUUCGGCGGGGACGAUGAUGACGGUACCCGCAGAAGAAGCCCCGGCUAACUUCGUGCCAGCAGCCGCGGUAAUACGAAGGGGGCUAGCGUUGCUCGGAAUUACGGUGCGUAAAGGGCGCGUAGGCGGCUUGGCCAGUCAGGCGUGAAAUUCCUGGGCUUAACCUGGGGACUGCGCUUGAUACUGCUAGGCUUGAGGCCGAGAGAGGGUGGUGGAAUUCCCAGUGUAGAGGUGAAAUUCGUAGAUAUUGGGAAGAACACCGGUGGCGAAGGCGACCACCUGGCUCGGUACUGACGCUGAGGCGCGACAGCGUGGGGAGCAAAC